rnacentral:rRNA from 1 species
AUUGAACGCUGGCGGCAUGCCUUACACAUGCAAGUCGAACGGUAACGGGCCUUCGGGUGCCGACGAGUGGCGAACGGGUGCGUAAUACAUCGGAACGUGCCCGAUCGUGGGGGAUAACGAGGCGAAAGCUUUGCUAAUACCGCAUACGAUCUACGGAUUAAAGCAGGGGACCGCAAGGCCUUGCGCGGACGGAGCGGCCGAUGGCAGAUUAGGUAGUUGGUGGGAUAAAAGCUUACCAAGCCGACGAUCUGUAGCUGGUCUGAGAGGAUGAUCAGCCACACUGGGACUGAGACACGGCCCAGACUCCUACGGGAGGCAGCAGUGGGGAAUUUUGGACAAUGGGCGCAAGCCUGAUCCAGCCAUGCCGCGUGCAGGAUGAAGGCCUUCGGGUUGUAAACUGCUUUUGUACGGAACGAAAAGCCUUCUUUUAAUACAGGAGGGUCAUGACGGUACCGUAAGAAUAAGCACCGGCUAACUACGUG